CUGCUAGCUUGGUCGGUAGAGCAUGAGACUCUUAAUCUCAGAGUUGUGGGUUCAUGCCUCACGCAG
rnacentral:tRNA from 1 species